AAGAAUAAAUUUUAAUUUAUUAUUUAUAUAAUAAUAAUUAAAAAAGAGAAUAAUAAAUAAUAUUAAAGAACAUGAUGUUGGUUCAGAUUAAAUGCUAAAUAAGGACAUUACACAUGCGAAUUAAACGUUUAAUUAAUUAUUAAUUAAAUAUGUAGUGAAAAUGUGAGUAAUAUAUAGGAAAUCUGAACUAUAAAUUAAGUUAAAUACUUAAUAAUAAAUAAAGAAUAAUAUUUGUUUAUAGUCGAGCCUAUAUUAGUUUAGGUAGUAGGUUUAUUAAAAGUUAAACCUAGCCAACGAUCUAUAAUCGAUAAUUAAAGUUAGAACGAUCACAUUGACUUUGAAAUAAUUAGUCAAUAUCUAUAUGAUACAGCAGUGAGGAAUAUUGGACAAUGAUCGAAAGAUUGAUCCAGUUACUUAUUAGGAUGAUAUAUAAUUAAUUAAAUAUAAUUAUAUAUAUAUAUAUAUAUUUAUUUAUAUAUAUAUAUAUAUUUAUUAUAUUAUAAUAUAUAAUAUAUAAUAUAUAUAAAUUGAUUAAAAAUAAAAUCCAUAAAUAGUUUAAAUAAUGAUAUAAACUAACAUAUAUAAAAUAUGUAUAUUAUUAUUAUUAAUAAUAUUUUAAUAGUCCUUACCAAGAUUUGUGCCAGCAGUAGCGGUAAGACAAAGAGGGCUAGCAUUAAUCAUAAUGGUUUAAAGGAUUCGUAGAAUGAAUAUAUUAAAUAUUUAGAAUUAAUAAAUAAUUAUUAAAGAAUUAUAAUAGUAAAGAUGAAAUAAUUAUGAUAAUUAUAAGACUUAUAUAUGUGAAAAUAUUAAUAAUUUAUUAAUUGACAUUGAGGAAUGAAGACUAGAGUAGCGAAACGGAUUCGAUACCCGUGUAGUUCUAGUAGUAAACGAUGAAUACCCAUUAAUUAUUAUAAAAUAAUUAAUGAAAUGAAAAUUAAAGUAUUCCACCUGAAGAGUACGUUCGCAAGAAUGAAACUCAAAACAAUAGACGGUUACAGACUUAAGCAGUGGAGCAUGUUAUUUAAUUCGAUAAUCCACGAUAAUCUUACCAUUUUUUGAAUAUUUAUUAUUAUUAUAUUAUUAAUAUAAUAAUAAUAUUUACAGGCGUUACAUUGUUGUCUUUAAUUCGUGCUGCAAAGUGUUAGAUUAAGUUCAUUAACGAAUAAAACUCCAUAUAUAUAAUAUAUUAAUUAUAUAUAAUAUUAUAUUAUAUUUUUAAUAUAAUGAAAGGAAUUAAGACAAAUCAUAAUGAUCCUAAUAUAAUGGGCUAUAGACGUGCUAUAAUAAUAUAAUAAUAAAAUUAUAUAAUAUUUAUUAAUAAAAAUAAAUAUAAUUAAUAAUAGAAAAUAUAUUAAUCUUUAAUAUAUAUUAUAAUUAAUUAUUAAUUAUAAUUAAUAUAUAUAUUAUAUAUAAUAUGAAUUAUAAUCUGAAAUUCGAUUAUAUGAAAAAAGAAUUGCUAGUAAUACGUAAUUUAGUAUAUUACGGUGAAUAUUCUAACUGUUUCGCACUAAUUACUCAUCACGCGUUGAAACAUAUAAUUAUCCUAAUAUAUAAUAUUUAUAUACAAGAAAUUAUACGAAUUUAUGCGAAGUUGAAAUACAGUUAUCGUAGGGGAACCUGCGGUGGGCUUAUAAAUAUCUUAAUAUUCUU
rnacentral:ncRNA from 1 species